GCUUGCCCAAGGUCACUCAGCUACAGGAUAGCAAAGCCAGACUUUGAACUCAGUUCUUUUUCACAUCAAAGUUUAAUAUUUCCACAGGUGUGCUCCCCCACCUUCUGGCCAGAUGACCACCUACCAUGCAUCUAACCACCCGGGAAGAUCUCGGAGAGAGCACACUCUUUUGUGGGGAAGGUUGGUGGUGGCAGUGCGGAACCCACUGGAGCAUUUUUUCUCAAGAAGAGAGCAAGCAGCUCCAAGUAGCUCCAAGAACCAUGGGAAGACUGAAGACAGAGACUCUAGGCUGUGUUUCUGCUGUGGCUGGCAGAGCCGAACUGCUGAAGCAGCCCCAGAGGGAGCCACGGCCUCUACCACGCACAGGGGCCGCCACCCUGAUGCCCAAGGCCCCAGCUGUGAGCAGCAGGUCGAGCCUCCUCGCCACAGCCUCACUGGCAAAAUGCAUCCCCGUGCCCUCCCGCUUUCCCCACUCGCUCAUUUCCAAAUCAAAGGUAUGGAAGGGCCCAGGUGACAGGCAGAAGCCACCUCACGCACCCUCAAGGUGUAAACAGCCUGGGAAGGCAGGUUUACACGACAUGGAACUGUUCAAAAAAUGUUAUGUUUUGAAGCCAAG
rnacentral:lncRNA from 1 species